AGUCCCUUCAGGCUUGACACUAUUCCCAGCACAAUACAAACAGCGGCUGAUCGGUGGCUGCCGCAACAGACAGCAGCAGAGCGCGGUGGCUGCAGGUGUAGCGGCGUAUUAUAAGAAGUUCAUACAUCCACGGUUAGUGGCUGCUGUGGCUGCCACCGGAAGAGCCACCGCCAGCUGCUGCUGCGGCGCUUGCUGUCUCUCGCGACGACGCACAGUGGUAGAUACCGACGGAACCAUUUUUGUAAAUUUCGUUCAAAGUAUUUUAGGACUUGUCCGCCAGCAUUGAUCGCAUGGCAGCAGAAAAACAACAUCCGAACAAAACGACUCUACUGACCGCAUCAUUUGCGAGGGUGACGCAUGUCCUGGGCCUUGUGUGCCGGAGUAUACGAGGAGUCCCUGAAGGCAGCAGACCCUGUCCCGCAAAGUUAGCUAGCGGUAGCGAAGGAAGCGGUUAGCCGGCAGGAGGCGGAGGAGGAGGAGACCGCAGCACCAGCACCAUCACCAUCCACACACAAUGACAUGAGACGGGCACAGGCGUAGUUUACUGUACGAGACGACUGGGGGAGAAUAUCUCUCACAACAGAUAAAGAUGAGCCGCUUCUGCUCGGACAACAACAACUUCCCCUACGACAACAACGUCCUGGUUCUGGACAUGGUGCUGGGCUCUCUGUGGGGGGCGCCCCAGCCCAUCAACUGGGACAACGUGGCCAAGCUAGUGCCGGGAUUCACUGCCAAGGAGUGUGCCCGUCGGUUUGAGGAGCUGAAUAACGCAGGGAGGUUUCCUCAUGUGGACAACCAGUGUAAUGCCCUGACGGAGGGCAGUACCUCCCCUUCAAGUGGCCUGUCUACGCUGCUGGACACCGGGGAUAUGGUGGACACGGGAAGUGGCCAGAGCACCAGCAAAGUAACAGGCCCCAAGUCGAUGCUCUCAGGAAGGGUUGGUUCUGUGGAAAGGAAGGAGAGAAGAGUCUCAGCAGAGGAUGAGGACCAACCUCCGAAGCCACGAGAUCCCAACAUGGUCAUCCAUGUCUGUGACGAGACAAAGAACCUGAAGCAGGACUUCACGUGUCCCAGAGAUCUGCUCGUCAAAGAGAUGCGUUACUUCGCCGAGUACCUGUCCGUGGACGCCCAGAGAUGGGAGGAGGUGGACAUCUCCGUCCACUGCGACGUGCAGAUCUUCGACUGGCUCAUGAACUACGUCAGGAGGAACUCUGCGGGAGAAGGAAUCAGGGACAAACCUCGGCUCGAGCCCAGCAAUGUGAUCUCAAUCCUGAUCUCCUCCGAGUUCUUGAAGAUGGAUACGUUAGUGGAGGAAUGCAUCCAGUACUGCCACAAGCACAUGAGCUCCAUCGUGGCUACACCCUGCAACAUGAACUGCAUUAACAGCAACCUGGCGACACGCAUCGCCGAGCUCUUCAGCCACAACGAGGCCGAUGACAUCAGGGACAAGAAGGACAAGUUCAAGAGCAAAUUGUUCCAGAAGAAAAUUGAGCGUCUUUUCGAUCACAGCCAUCGGAGCAGAGAUUCACCGGGGAACGCCUCGACUCUAUACAGGUGUGGCCUGUGUCUUAAGCUGCUGACCAAAGACACAGAGAGGAAGAUUUCUUGUGUUCUGGGGAAAAUCAACAUCGAUGCUCGAGGAGAGAUCAUCUACACACACACGAGACAGAAGAGCUGGGAUGUGCAUGAAUACAUCUGUGGACUGUAUGAGGAGCUCAAUUCCUGGGUACUGGUUUACUGGAGAAUCUGGGGUACCAUCAACUACCUCACCUGCUCCCGAUGCCAACAGGUGUUUGUAUGUGCAGAGCUGACCCACUGCAGGUACCACCCAGACAGCGUGCUGUACCCCGGCCUGGGGGCAGAGAAAGGCUUGCAUGGUGCAGGAAUCUACCCCUGCUGCAAUCAGAGGGUUCUCCGCUUUGACCCCACUGGUAUGCCCAAGGGCUGUAAGAUGCGAGACCACAUAGUGAACGUACCCGACGAAGAGAACUGCGAUGAGGUGAGUUCAGCCCAGACCAGAGUCCUCAAUGACCUGCUGCUGCACAGAGACGCAGUGUGUCUGUCCAACAACACACCACCUGCAGACGGUACUGAGGAGAGUCCGUCUGGCGCAGAGAAGGUUGAGGACUGUGACGUCCUCUUGGAGCCGACGCUCCUCGGACCUCUGAGAGGAGACAGCAGCACCUUCUCCCUUUUGAAAAACUGGAGUCUGCAACUGAGAGCGCCUCUCCUGUCAGAGGACGAGGAGUACACCACUGGGUCAGAGGUCACCGAAGAUGAGGUGGGGGAUGAAGAGGAGCUGUCUAAGAAACAAGCUGCCAAGAAGCCCAAGAAAACCCAUAGACCUCUGAAAAAACAAAUGUCCUCUCCGAACUUCCAGCGCAAAGACAAACCAGAGAAAUCACAGACCAGGGACAACACACCUUUCCUCGUGAGUGUCCAGAAGAGUAAGUGGGACAGCUCUCGCUCCUUACGCUACAACCAGGAUGCGCAGAGGGAAGAAGACCAGCGUCGCAUGGUGGAGAUCGUCGGCCACCUGACGAACAUGAGGUUUGGAGACCAGGAACAGAGCAAAUCUAAGGACACUGCAGAGCCUGCAGGGGGAAUCUACUCCAGACUAGAAGGGCAAUUUAAGAGUACAUCUCAAACCAGACAGAGUUCAGAGAAGACACCGAGACCUAAAAUCCGCUACGCUCAGAUCCGGACGACGUAAAGGACUCGACGGGACGAAGGCCGCCGAGCUGAUGAAGAGUCAGACGGAACAAAAGAGGAAGACGAUCCUUCUGUAAAGGACUCGUAAACUUCCGACCGGCAGCCCCUCUAGCACGGCCACCACUCAUAUCUGCGGGACUGUCUCCUCCUCACCACCCCUCCCUCCCCUCUCUGCUUAACUCAGGUGACUACGUAUGGAUCACCAGUAACUGCUGCGUCCUCCGUCUCUCAGCUCUCACUGUUUUAUUUGUGCAGCUGCGACCAGAACUCUGGAUCCAGCUUAGGAGUUGCACUUUGACCGACCUCAUUCUUUCUUUUUUUUUGGAAGUGGAAAUUUCUGCAAAGGACAACGUGCAAAAUGCUCUAGUUGAUUUUCUUUUUUACCGAGUCUCAUCUUAACUUACACAUCUGAUUUGUUUUCGUUUCAGUAAACUUGUGAGAGUGAAACACUAGUUUGAGAGAGAAGGUCAGAAAUCACACAGGAGAUGAAGUGUUAACUGCGUCAACACAACUCGGCUCGUUCCAUCGCAUCACAGCACAUCAGCACCUUUAACUCUGCACUAAUCAUCCUUGUCUUCUGUGGUGAAGAGCAAACAUUUGGAUGAGACAGAUGUAACGCAAUAUAACUGACAAAUAUCUCCCCCUCCCCUCAGAUAUGCUUCAAGUCGUCUCCGUCUGUACUGGAAUCAUAUCAUGGCAGAGGAGGAAAAACGGACCCUUAGAAGUCAACUUUGCCCCAGAUUGACCACUAACCUGUCACCGCUGCUCCAGCUAACACUCAGCUUCCUCUCUGGUUGCAUCAGAGCGGUGACAGGUCGUUGGGGCUGGUGUCCAGACGAGUGUAUCAACUUUCACUGGAAAAGCAUCAUAACCUUCAGUGUAAUACCAGGAAGUUAACAGGGAUCAGUGGCAGGCUCGGCUUACACAGCAGCAGCAGCAGCCCCGGACGAAGAUGUCCGAGCAGAAACGGCCAGAUGCCACAAGGAGUAGUGAGGGAAUGACAGGACGACAGACAUCAUCAUCAUCAUCAUCAUCAUCAUCAUCUACCUUUCCCUCCAGGAUCUUCGUCAGUGUGUUUGAGUCCAGAUUUGACUAGGAGAUAGAUGUCCCAGUUGUUACCUUGUGAGAAAACCAGUGAGAAACAAUUACUUUAAUGAAGUUGGGAUAAGAAGACUGAAAUUUUGCCAUCGUUCAACAACAAAUGAACUGUGUGUGUGUGUGGUUAAAAUACUGAAAAUACAAACUUGUUAUUUUUCCACAUCCGAGGACAUGAAUGCCUCACUUGAUUCCUCCACCACCACCACCACCACCGUGCUAUCAGUUCAUCUGCUCCACUUAUUCAAACUGCAGGGUUUUCAGCUUAAAGUGUAACAUUAACAUUAUUAUUAUGAGUUUAUAUAAUUUUGAGGAUUUAAAUAUUCAUGAUUAUUUUUCCCAUUAAUAUAAAAAUAUAUAUUUUUUGUUAGCACUUUGACUUACUUCUCAGUAAAACCAUUUGUGAGGACAUGAUGAAAUAAAAAUGGGUCCCGGUCGUGAAAUAAAUAAAUCGGAGCAAAGCCAGCAUUAUAAAAUUCUCAACUUUAAUCAGUUCAAAAAGUUCACAACAAAUGUAACACCUUGAGAAGGGAAAUUUGCCAUUAGAGAUCGGGUACUUAUUUGGAUUUAUACAUUCUUUUCCUAAUUAAACUCGUUGGCAAUUCAUUUGCUCUGUGGACAAAAAGCCUUUUAUUUAUUUGGACAGAACUCAAAACAGGUACAAAUGAAGGAAGAAGAAAGAAAAAAAAAAAAUACAAAAUCAAAUGUAAACCCGGUUUUAUUUUUCAUUUUGCUCUAAAGGUAGUAGUGUCUUGAAGCACUACCGCAUGGUAAACGAUCUAAAUUAGUACAAUUCAAAAUCUUGAAAGCCAUCUGAGUUAAACAGGAGUUGUUAUAAAGAUGCAACCAACCAAGAACCCAUAAAUACCUCCGCCACUUCCUUAAAACAUCCCAUUAAUGAAGGCUCACAAAUGAGCAACAAUCCUCUUAGAGGAAAACAAAACGCUGAUGUCGACUGGUCGACAGCACACACGCACACACCCACAACAAAAAGAAACAAAAGAAUAAAAGGAA